ensembl:lncRNA
GUGGGCAGGGCGCGGCGGGGGGCGAGGCCUGCUGAGCAAACUGCUUCCCUGUCAGCGCGGUGCCGUUCCCACCCCAGUUCUCGUGUGAAACAGUUGUGAGUAGGAGACAGGUGGAAGACAGCUUUAAUUAGGACUUGGCCAUAAAGCACCAGGAUGUUAUCAACAAGAUCACAUGCAAAGUGCAUCCCCUCAAAAUGAAAAGAGUACCCCUUUUCACGGGUGGAUGAAGAAAGAAAUAUGAACAGCAAGUCUGGCAAGAAAUGUGGCUGUCCCAGCUCGGGGGCAGAGUUGUGGCAUGGACUGCUGCUGCUCACAUAUCAGAACUAUCCAUGGCACAAAAAGCAGGAGCAUGAGCUAUCUGAUUUUAUGUGAAAUUCCUUUAGAUCCCAAUUUCUAAAAGCGCAAUCAGAUCGCUUGGUGCUGCAGAGUUUAAAGUAGGUGUGAAUGUGAAGGUUCCUUGGAGAAGGAAAGACACCUCAGUUGAACAGAACACAGGAAAACACCGAAAGGAGAAUUGAAGCAAAUGUCUUACUUGGUAAUAAUAGCGAUGAACUACAUUUAAAAACAUUUUUAAUUAUUAUUUGCAGGCUGGAAGCAUUUAACCUAUUACUGUUUAUAGAAGGAAGUUUUCAUAUUCUGUGGCAGAAUUUAAAUUAAAAUCCUCGCUAUGGUGUCAUUCUGAUAAUAAUUUAAUUCUGGGACUGUUGCCAUCGUGUAUUUAUAACACAGAAAUUUUUGCAACUGGAAGAGCUAUCCAUAGUAGUCAAUAGACUGAGUUACGCCUGUGAUAGUGCAGUUAUCUAUUACUUUAAUAUGCUAACUAGGAUUUCAGUGUAGCUGCUAGCAUGGAAAAUCUUUUAAAACAGUAUAUUAACAAAGUGGAGGGAACAACCCUGCUUGUUCUUUUACACUGAAUAUUUUCAUGGUUUGACUUUAGAUAUUCCCCUGCUAAGAAAACUGCUGUUGUUUACAUAAUGCUGAACUUGGGUUACCCUGCAGGGAGUUCAUGACAUACAAGCCAAAUGUUUUAAUAAUUGUAACAACUAAAUUUGAUGGUGUUUAAUAUUCUUGCAUUCAUAAUGAAGCUUUGUUGACUGUUUAGUCUGUUAAUUCUUAUGUAAAAUGUUGCCUGCUGCGGUGGAACAAAAUACGCCUUCUUCCUUUGUAUUAAGAUCAAUGAAAAACAGCAUUUGAGGACAAUCUACAUCAGACCUAUUAUCAGUACUCUACAAAUUUGUAAAAUAUAAGAUGAUGUAUCUGUUAUUUUGGUGCUGUGUAGAACCAGCAAGUUAAUCUCUAAGUACAACAUUUAAACAGUACGUACAAGAAAAGCAUUGAGAGGUUUUCAUUUGCAUACCUUUAGAGUCUGUUGAAAUUAAGGAACUGGCAACUACUGAAAUUCAGAAACUGGCAUUUUAUUUUAUUUAUUCUCUUUAUAUUUCUAUAUAUGUAUUAUUUUUUCUCUAUGUGUAUUUACUAUAUUUCAUUCUAUAACAUCUAAUUGCUGAAAUCCUAUCUUCUGCAUUACAUCAGUGAGCAGCUACAGCAGUACUUUGGGUUUUGGGGUUGUUUUGUUGUUCAUUUUUUUAUUAUGACAGCAGAUGAAUUGGUAAAUUGGUUAUCUAACAGCUGUUUUACAUUUUCAAUUUACUAGUCUUUGAUGAUGUCUUGUUUUGAAGAGUAUUUUCCAGACUAAGACACCAUACGAUCCCUCUGUAUUUCUGUAACAUGUAACUCGACCUUUUAAUUUGUUGCUAAUUACUCUUAAAUGGCUGUUUGCUGAGCAAGCUAAAGAAAUGUAGGAAGUCAUUCCACCUGUGGCAAAACUCAGAGCUCCUGUAGUAUAAUCAGUACCAGUUACGGUACUGAAUUAAAAAUGUUCAGAGGGAUAUUCUCACAAGUUAAGCUACUUUGGAGAGGAUGAAAUAUAGGUCAGAUAACCUGGUAGUAUAAGACUGACAGCGUAAUGCUAUGAAAGUGAAAUGUGAUUGUAAAUUCCCUUUUCGUUGCAGCUGCUAGUUGCUAGCACAGCCCACACUAGGAUUUAAGUGCAUGCACAGUCACUCUGGUGAGGAGGUGUAUGGGCUCAGACCUUUCCCUUGGCAGCCUCUGCACAUUGGCAUAAUUGUAUAGCUCCCUGCAGUGGCCAAAUCCGGAUGGUUGCCACAUGGCACGUGUGCCUGAUUCCAGCUACACUUCAUCUCCUGCAUUCACAUGCAUUGCAGUGUUUCGGUAAAGAACCAGUCGAGCUAUCUGGCAGGAUAUUCCCAUUUCACUUCCAGAACAAAGCAUGCCACCUGGCACACAUGAACACCUGCCCCAGGGGAGCAGCUGAGCAACCACAUGUGGUGGGAGCUGUGUCCCUAAUCCCUCAAAACAUACCUAGAGACCAUGGCAAUAGAUGCAGUAUAAGAAAACAUGUCGAAUAAAAUUGCAUGAAAUACUGUCUGCUCCCCCAGAACUUCAUGGUUAUUUUGUUAUUGACUUCAAAUCCAUCCAGAAUUCUGCCCAUGCAAUUUCAAAGUAAUUGGAAUAAAGUCUUUUUCUUCUUUUUUCUUCUAAAUGAAGGCUUUUGCUGUAUUUAACUACAUAAUUGUACUGGUUACCACUGUAGUAUCAGACUGAAGAAGGACUCCAAACUCAUGUUGCUGCUGAGUACAGAACCAGUCACUUCUCCAAGUCUCUUAAACCCUGUGAGAUUUUAUGGGUGUAUCUAAAACUUACCUGAUAAAAAUCUGCACUAAUAUAUUCAAAUGCCAUACAUCUCUGCAUCUGUGUCCCCUGACUUCUUAUUUUUAGUCCUCACCAGUGUAGGUACACAUGGAUUUUCUUAUUUAUUACCUUAAUUAAGUUUAUUAUAGCUCAAGAUAUGUUUAGCAAAUUGUAAUUACUAGUAUUUCUUUAUAUGUAACAGUAGUUUUCAUCAAUCUAUCUUUUCAUUUCCAAUUCCUCAGACAUGUUUCUGGCACUCCCUUAGAGUACAAAAUAUAAUUACAAGUCAUUUGGUAAUUUUAUUAGUCUAUUCUCAGAAGACUAUGGGAUCCAUAUCUUCUAGACUUGUUCAUCUUUAUAUAUUCUGUUUCUUCGUGUAUUCCCUUACCUGCCAGAUCACCAGAUAUAGUGACAUAAUCUUCAUUACUUAAUUAUAAUUAUUAGUCAAGGGGUUUCUACUCUACACAUACAGCUUCCAAACAAAAUGUCUUGAACAGAUAAGCAACAGGUUUAAAAAAUAAACCAUUUGACACUGGGAAUAUUUUGUGCUGGCCAUCUAAGAGCAGUAGGAGAAUAAAUAGUCAUUCGUUAUCUGGAGAAUGCUGUGUAAUGAAUGACAGAAUAAAGGCUGUAGGUGAAUUUGUUGCUGAAUUAUAUUCACUCUUGAAUGCACUGCAAUUCAAAGUACUUUUUUUCCUUCACAGGUAUACGCAUGCAUAAUUUAUAUUAAUAUAAAAAAAAUGUUUAUAUGUUCCUUUUGUGGGCUGGGGGGUUUUCUUGGAGAGGAAAAAACAAAGGCGAGCGGGGAGGGGGCAAGCUUGAAGAUCCUGUGAAACCUAAUUUGCAAACAAUUUGCACUAGCAGCUGUAAAUUUCACUCCAGAGAUUUCCAGGUGCUUGGUGCACAUCUAUACAUGGAGAGCAGUUCCCAAGAGAUGAAGCUUGAUGGCUGCAUUAAAAUGAAUCAGAGGCCUUAUCUCAAUGCAGGGUAUUUGCAUAUCUCCUCUUCAUGAAUCCUUACUUCAUGGAUGUGUCUUCUGCUUUUGUGCUGCCCUCAGUUUUUUAAAAAGAAUGCAGAUGAAUAGGCUUUCUAUUAAUGAGUUGCAAUAAGAGCCUGCUGAAUUUCCUGACAUCCAUUUCAUGAUUGUACUUGUCUUUUAUAGAUGCGGUUCUUUAAUUGAGUUUACCAUACAUUUUAUAGCAUACUAGAAAUCAGAGUCCUUGAGCUACUGGCACCAUGCAUUCCUGCUGUGAGACAUCCACCAUCCACAUCCUCUCAGUUUACAUGGAAAAGAUGAGCGCUAUUUCAUUCUUUACCUUGGAAACUGGACUCAGUAAGAUUUGGGUUAUUUUUUUUCUCACAGUCGCUGAGAAUUACUGUGGCAUACUCAUAAUGUUAUCUCUCAAUUUAGCCUCCUGUCGAACAAGAUCGGUUUGUGCCAGCUCCUGGGGAAGUCCUGUCAGCAGCACUCCAAUCUUGAAUUAUUCUUGACCUCCCUUUCCUAUUUCCUUCUGGCAAAAUCUAAAUGCCACAGAUUGUCAAAGGUCUUACAGGCAGAAUGGGCCAUCCUGAGCAGAACUGUGUGUACUCAGAGUGAGAAUUUCACCUGGGUUUGUUUAAUGCGUCGUUGCAGUUGGCUGCAAACCAAAAGCUACGUGAUACCUUUCACUUCUCUGUGGUGCUGGUUGGAAGAGCAGAAAAUAAGUAACUAAUGAGCAGAACUCUAGAGCUCACUGGAAAGUUGCCGCAAUAUGUGGAGAUUUUAAUGGCCUUUCCUUUGUCAGGGACACCUUACCCCUCUGAGCAAGAGGUGCUGGGCUGGUGCCAAGCCCAGGGAAAGCCAGCAAAGUCCCUGCGAGCAGCAGCAAAGCUGAAAGUUGUCUCGGUUUUAUCUCUUCCCACAGGAGGAAAUUGCUAGACCAAGACAGGGAUUUGUUCCUGCUUUAUGUUCGUGUUCAGCCUGGGAAGCUGAAGUCUUCCAAGGAAGCAACCAAUAAGUAAAAGCCAGCUGUCUGUUUGCAGAGAAGCAAAACUUCAAGAAAAGGUUGAACUUUUCACAAAUGGAAAAUUUGGAGCUAAAUCCAAGCAUGGUUUCAGGAAACCCUAAUAUCAGUAGAGCUUCGUUUCUUUCAGGGAACAAUGCUAAUUCCUGCAGUUCAUGAUACAGUCUCUAGCUCUAAAAUCUCUUAAUGCUGCCACAAACAAUAUUACAGUGCUCACUUGGGGUGUGUCAAAGAUUUCUACAAGCCAGACAAUAAUAGAUUGAAAACAUCAUUUACAAUAAGUAAGCAAUGUUACAUAGUAGGACUAAAGCUUGAAAGGGAAAAAUGAAGCGCAAAACUGUCUGGCACAGUGGAAAACUACAGUAUAAAUCAACUCCUGCUCUCACUUAUGAUGGAUCUCCUGCUCUCACUUAAAGCAGGCGUACAGAAAGAUGUAAAUGGGAUGCAAACAUUUAGACCUUAAUUCACUCCUGUAGCUCCACUGACCAGAUGUAAAAUGUACUGUUGAUAUGUUCUCUGAAAAGCAGGUUACAAAAUCUGGAUGUCACAAUCUUAGCCUUCUCUUCAUGUUUUCUUGUGUUCUAAAUAGUCCUGAAAUACAAUUUCUGUAUCUUCUCUGCAGUUUUAUACUGGUCUAAAUAGACAAAUAAAGGUACGUUUAUAUAGUGGAUUUAAAUUAAAGUUACUUUGGUCAGGGUAGACUAACGGGAUCUAAAAAAUGCCUUUGCAAAUGGAAACAAACUAAAAAGCAACCAACCAAACAUUAAAAAAACAACAACAACAACAACAAAAAAAACACACCUGCCUUUAGUUCUACUUUACAUGUUCGUUUUGCACACGCUUCAUAGCUAAAACAUUCACAUUCAUCCUGGGGACUUGUAGAUCUUUACAGAUCCCUGGCUCUCUUAACAUAUUACCACAAGGUGUUUGACUUAGCUAAAAUGGGUGAGUGUGUGAUGGCAUUACCAAGUGUUAUGAGUCAAGUCAUACACAAAGUCUUACUGAGAGUCUCAUGAUUUUUAAAUAAGCAUGUGAUUUGGAGGGGAGGCCCAAGACCCAGAAUGACUCCUAGACUGUUUGGAGUUGGCACUAUUAUAUUAAGGUGCCCAGAUAUGAAAUGAUGUAUAUUAUAAUGUAAAUCAUAAAUUUCUGAAUAAGAAUAUGGCACAUAUUUAUGUACAUGUUUGUGUGUGCCUACUAUCAUUUUGGACCUUUGACAUAAUAAUUCAUGCUCAGAAGUUUAAGUGGGAACAUGUAAUACUCAUUCAAAGGCUUUUGCUCAAACCAGUAGUUGUCAAUUACUGUGUCUGUAGUAAGCAACUGAGGGUAUCUUGGAAGCCCUCUCCUUAUCUUUGACUAACCUGUGGUUUAUGUCAGGGGCUACAGUUAGGUAACGUGACUGACAGCUCUCAUAACCCUCACCUAAGAGAUAUCAUCUCUUUAGGAAUUAAGAGUAGGCUUAGUCCUGCCAAAUCAGUUUCACUUGUGUUACGACCCAAGUUACGAUUCUGAAUGUUGUUUCCUACUGAACAGAAGGGUGGAAAAGAAGAGUAACAACAAAGUAAUGUAAUCCCUCUCUGAAUGCCUGGUUCCUGUUGGGGAACCUCCCCCCUCUGAAACUACCAGCUAUUCUGCAAAGCAGUCACAACCAGUGCCCUCUAAAACUGUCUGCUCUUCCCCAAAUUGUAACUCCUUUCUGUGAAAAGGCUUUAGGUAUGGCUAAGCCAAGCAAAAUCUGUUAAGAAUAUUAAAAGAGCAAUCCAACUACUGUGAAAGAAAAACAACAUACUUCAGUUUUGGUUCUGGAGAACUGUAGAAAUCACUUUUAGCACAUAUUGGAAAGGAGCCUGACUACACUCUGAAGUGCAAUAAAGCAAUGCAGAGCUCCUCUGCCUGAGGUUCUGCCCUCCAACUUGAAGUCCUUCACCUGGGUGUCAAGGGUGUGCACAACAUAGGGAUGAUCUGGAACUGUGGCUAAAGAUUAACUGGACUCAACAAAAGAUGAAAAAAUCUUUGGGCAAAAUAUUAACACAUCAGAUUGGCUGCAUUUUCUUCCAGAAGUGUCCGCCUGUAGAACACAGUAACCACUAUAAAACUAGAGUUUACUCUGCUUUUUUUUUUUUCUUGGACUGUAUUAAAAGUAGAUCACUAUUUCAGUCUUCAUCUCUCUGUCUUAAUGAGGAGUGGGGACAUGACGUAUGUGCAGGUUCUAAUUUAACCUAAUUAAAAAUAAGAAUAUUACCAGUGUCAGUAUGCAGCUUGAAAAGAUAAUUGCUUCAAAAAUUGUGUGUAAGAAAAAAUAAAUUGAAUUUAGAAAAUGAAAAAUGCAACACAGAAAGAUGUAUGCUUUCUAAUAGCUCCUUUUACAGUAGCUAAUUAACCUCUUAGGUUUUGAAAGCUGUUUAUGAAAUGUUCUGUCUGUAUCAAGGAGAUUUUUUAAUGUUCUUUUUAAUCAUGAAGUCUUCUGUCUUGGCUUUUCCUCUCCUUUGGAAUAUUCGAUUCUUCUUCCUUCCUUUAUCCCUUGGACCUCAGGUUUGUCUGCUCUAAAACUGAAAUAGCACCAAUAGUUUCAUUCUUCAUUCUGUCUAUGAAUUCUGUGAAUCUGAUGAACAGUUGCACAGUUUCUGCGACUGGUUAAUUAUUCCAAAUAAUGACUGUUAUAUAAACAGUUUUGCCUAUAAGUUCAUUGUUUUAUCUUGUAUCUAGACCUUAAACUUAGGUGCUUCUUUUUGUGUGUGUGUGUGCUUUUUUGAUAAUAUUUUCUAGAGUAAUGUGUAUACAUGUUAAAACAACAGCAACAACAACAAAACAGGUUUUUGUAAGAGAUUUUAGUGACAGAAUAGUGACAGAAGUUUUUUUCAGGUAUCAGCAAGCAGAUUCUGUUCCUUACUCCUGAGAAGCUAAAUCCGAAGAAAGAAAGACAAGAUUUUCUUCUGAGAUGUGGUGUGACUACAGGUUCUGCUAUUUGUUUAUGAUGUUCCUCCAGUUUACAUAGUCACAGCUGCUUAUUUAGUACAUAGGUAAUCCUGUAGCAAAAUAAUGUUAGCACAGUCAUUCUUAUGCCACUUCUGGGUCUGGUAUUAAGGAUACCAACAGAGGAGUGAGGGUAUCCCCGUGCUUCUUGGUCUUUGCCUGCCACUGAGCUCCACAGUGCCAGAAGAGUUCAGCUGCCUUAGGUGAUGACAAUAAGGAAAGAACAUUUACUGCAGGUUGUAGGUACUCAUCUAAGCACUAUGUGGUGUGCUGUAAUUGCAGGCUGCAUUAGGUCAUGCUUUGUCACAAGGCUUAUUCCAAACAGAAGUCGCUUCCAUUGGAUUGUCCUUGCAGCAGCAACGUAAAUGAACAAGCUUGGGCAGCUUUGCCAGAAAUGUCUAAAACUAAAUAAUUAGUCAACAGCCAUUCAUGCAGCAUAUGACAGAAGUGCUAUUAUUGUCAGGGAGAGUACGGAGCCUGUGACUACAACUCACCACUCAAUCUGAACAGUUAGUUGAACAUAACACGCUUGUAAUAAUAUUUAAAGCUUAAUAUCUGAUGCGUGUAUGAGAGUCCAAAUUCACAUGACAUACAAGAAAAAAACAACGACUGGUACAUUAGAGACAUGAAUUCCUUUUAAGUUAGCUAAGGAAAUUGGCAGGUAGUUCUUAAGAACUUGUUUGUAUACAAAUCCCUUUCUGCUGCUGGAAAUCCAGCAGCAAUGUUCAAACUUUAGGCAAAAGAGCUCACAAGCUGCCUACAGACCUGUAGUCCUCAGGUAAUAAAGGAGGGGGAAAGAGCCCUCACUUAUUCCAAGUGCUCUGCAGCAUUUUGAGAAGAAAAACGAAUGUGAAUCCUAGGGAUAGUGGGCCACAGUGCUGAUAGAGCAUGCCCUACAGAAGUAAGUUGGGUGCAAGGCCAUGAUGAUGCAGCUACGCUGUCAUGGGUUCCAGACACACUCCCUUUGCAGUUAGCUGAGACAGUUAGCUGGACUGUUUUCCACUGCCCAGUGUACAAAAUGCCCAAUGUUUGUAUAGCCCUUAGCAAAAUAGGACCCUAUUCUUGAUUGGCCUCAAAACAGCACAGUGAUUCUAAUUAUAAAUACCAGGGAAAUAAAUGAUCACAGAAGGCAUUUGAUGUAUUUUUUCCAGCAUGCAACAGCAGUACCAAUACGUACAAGAGCACAAUGCAAUCAGAUUCUGAUGUAUGCAAUAUAUUUUUAACACAAUGGACUUCAUCCAGACUUUUCUGGCACCAUCUUCUAUUGUCUUUCAUCACUUUGCAGUGAAGUCAUGUAGGGUACUCCAGACUUGAGGUGGCUGUGGUCUAGUGCUGAGAUUAAUGCUGAAUAAAAAUCAAGUUAGUUAGUAGAGCUUAAAUAACUGUUAGGCAAAUGAAUAUUUGUUUGUGGAAAGAAACAACUGCUGAAUAGAUGAAGUAAGUCAUUUUAGUCCCUGUCUUCGUAUCGUGUGCUGCAAAAUAAAUGCAGAUCUGAGAGAGAGACCCACUUCUGCUGCUGCCCACUCCUUUCUACUUUAAUAUUGUAAAUUGAAAAUGAUUUGAAAAAAAAAUAAUAUCAUAAAAUAAUAAUAAUUAGAAUUCCACUGAUGUCCCUUUUAUGAUAAUAUAUUUGAGUUGUUCUUCAAAAAUCAAAUGAAGAAACUUCAGCCACAGUAGAGGUCUUAACCAAAAUUAAAGUCUUGUACUGAAAAUAUCAGCAUUUCUUAUGAGCUCACCUGGAGGGAGAUUAUGGGGCAACAAGUAAUGAGAUGGGUAAAGGACUGCUAUUCUUACUUCAUUUGGCCAAGAUCUACUCAACAUCUUGGAUUGUCCUCGUUUUUGUUGUGUAUUAAAAUGGUGCUAAGUGAGCUCAAGCAGGGCUUGGUGUUACAGACACUGUGAGACUGUCUCCUGGCAUUUUACAGUCAGAGGAGGAGUAGAGAGAAAGGAAUGAACUGGAGAGAACUUUUACAAUGCUCAUAAAACUGAUGUUAGAUCUGUGGGUGGCAUUUGCUGACAGCAUAGUCUGAAGGGACAAACAAACCAAAGGCAGAAGUGGUGAGGAAGGGAAAUGAAGAGAAAAAAAAGAGCAAGGAUGGAAAGAAGGAAACACAUGGUAGGCAAUGAAGUAAAGGUGAAGUGGCUGUGAAUAGCUAAUCACUGAAAAGAAAACAGUGUUGAAAGUAGAAGUACAUGGGAAAAAGCAGCACACAGAUAGAAUCAGUGAGUUGCUGAUAAUUCUUAGUCAAGCUGCUUUGGUUGCUUCACAUGCCAGCCUUGAGCUUCAGGCAGAAGAACAAUUGACUGUUACGACAGUCUGGAUUUAGUUCAAGGUGAAUUACGUGUGCAAUUUCAGGAUAAUUUAUCUUCGCCUGCCUUAAAAUCCAAAAGAAAGACACCGCCAACUUUUGUUCUAGCUUAACUAUUAAUUCUAUUGAUAAAAUUUUGUUAGUCAUCUUCAGAUUUAAAAAAAAAUCCAUGCAGUCAUAAUUAGAAUUCUAUGUAUAUAGAUACGAUUUACUAGGCACUCUUCUGACACAGGGAAAAUGAUACCAUUCCCCUAAACAUCAAAGAGAUUAAGACAGACAGCUCUUGGCAGAGGCCAACAGAAGGAGCAGCAAAGUAGGAGUAAGAUUUUUUCUCGGAUAACUGUGCCAGGAAGGAAAUCUUUCAGUGUUAAAGUUCAUAGAUUUGGUGAGCUUGCAAAGGGGGCUACAUGGGAAGAUGUUGUUUGACAUCGUAAGCCUCUUGUCUGGACCUACUAACACAUUCUCCUCCCUGAAGUUGAAGAAUCCAGGUCACCUUGUAAGUAGGCAAACUGCUGCUGCAGAAGUUUCUCCUUAGGUCGUUACAUCAGUAUCUCACCUUUUGCUUGCCAAGCUUGUUUAGUACCGCGGCAGGAGUCUUCUGAAAGAGACUGCUGUGCAUCUUUGAGGACAAUGUUAAAAUUAAGCAAAUGAUGCCAGAGGUUUGUGUUUUGCUCUCUGCUGCCAUGAAUGAUCAGCAUGGGCAUAUGAUAAAGGGUAACCACUUAUUUGUGUGAGUGACUGAAAGCAGUUUUGCCAACGGGGAUGUUUGGAACAGCAUUUAAUCUGAAAAGAUAAUUAAUGUCUUCUUUGUUGUGCAACAGAAGCCUAUGGAAAGAGAAUCAUAUUGCAUCAUAUCUCUCAAUAACAUACAACUGGGUGGCUGAAAUUGGGUUUAACUAGACAGACAAAAAUAACUUCGGGAGGAGCAGAGAAAGGUUAUGGGUCAUGUGAUGCUGAUUUGUUUGUUUAAAGUUGACCUAUCCCUGGAGCAGAGAGUUUAAUGGGUUCCAGUAAGGACUUGCACCCGGCAUGCAGAGCUGCAAUUACUGUGGGAUGGUUCGAAGUCUGUGUGUGUGUGUGAGGCCUGGGUCAUGUCUGUUCGUGGGGGCAGCAGUAGCUUUCGCAGAGACUACAGAUCAGACUUCCUGAGCAUCCUUCCACUGCCCUGUGAUUGACAAUCAAUAAAAAGAGACAUGAGAUACACUGGGUGAAAAACAGGGCAUCUGAGAUUUCACUGAAGUUGUUCAAACUUGCAAGUAGAAAAAGAAAAGGAGUUUGUUGGCUAAGACAUUCUGAAUACUUUUCUCAUUUGUAUAAACCUGUAUGUAUAAACCUGUAAAUAAAGGUUAUGUUUCCCUUAAA